GGACAUGGUCCAGAUGUGACGAAGCCCAACCAUGAUGUUGGGGAUCUGCAGCACCACCAUCUUAAAGCUCUCAUAGCUUCGUACUUUCUGGUUACAGUUACAAUUAAGAUAAGUGAGCAACAAUAAAUUAACAAGGCCUACGAAAAUUAAGCACUAAUGUUUCGAUUCCGAAAGGAACACGCUCUUGAGCGAACCACUAGUUCCAAACCGAAAUUAAAGUUCCAGUUUUAGCGUUGCCACGCUUAUAAAAUGUAUGAUUUCCAUUUUUAAAUAAGUUUUUUAGUUUCCAACGUCUUGGAUCUGCUAUAAAAACUCCUAUAAAACUCACCUCCAGAUAAUCUAUGAUGGUUCCUAAGUAGUCAGAGUUUUCCUUGGCCAGCUUGAAGCGAGCCUC